UGUCAAGAAGGAAGGCUUAACCCCCACC
rnacentral:piRNA from 1 species